rnacentral:tRNA from 1 species
GCAGGCCUUCGCGCAGGCCGCGUGCCGACGCGUCGGGGUCGCGGGGGAGUAGGACCACGGAGCCCUGCUCGACGUUGGACGCGUCGAUGCCCGCG